CCGGAAGCGGAAGAGUCUGCGGCUGAAAGCCAGGCGAUGAGGAUGAAGAUGAGCUCUUUUGAAUGAACAGAAGCAGCAGCUUCUCAUUUCCGCUUUAUAACAUCAAGGUGAGGAUUCGGCCUAGAGUGGAUCUCCCUAGCUCUAGACCAUGAAAUUGCUGAGCCAGUUAAGCUUCUCUUAAGCAAACUUCUCAAGUUGACCCAAUCAACAAUCACACUUGGGAUUACAGGCCCAUGAUAGAAGCCUCUUGGAUCAAAUUAUAUUCAAAAGAAAGCGCACUGAUAUUUCAAACUGACAAAGUUAUCUUGGAAUGUGCAGCACAUAUAUGGUUAUGUGUGGACAAAAUUAUGUGUGGAUGGUUUGAGUUAUCUUUGAGGAACUCUCAUGAAAGAGGACUUCCUGAACCGCUUUAGAGAGUGGAAACAGUGAUGAGAUUCAUCCUGACAGAUUAAUAUGCAGCAAGAGAGACCCGCUGUCAAUGGGCAUUUUGGAUCAUGUGUUUAAAACUGCCUUUGAUGUGUUUGUGGGUCAGGAAUUUGGGAAGGGAUUGUCUGGAAGACAUAGCUGGAACAAUGAAGCACUAGAAUAGCUGGAAGCUGACUGGACAUUUCUCUCUACAGACCUCCAGGAUUUUAAUUUGUUUUCACAUGUGGGCUAUUUUGAGUUUUCUCACAGCAUGGUUGAUUUGAAGCCAUUAGCUUGCAUAUGCAGAGGGUCAGCAUUCAAAGUGUGACUGUCUAGCAGAAAGGCAGAAUCUGAAUUGUCUCUCCUUCCUUAGCCUCAGAAGUCACCCAGCAUCACCUGCACUGUGCUCUAGUUCUUGAGCCAGGCAGAAAAACCCAACAGUUUCAAAGGGAAGGGAUGUAGAUCUCACCUUUCUGUGAAAGGAGUUUCAGUGCAACGAAUGUGGGUGUUGGAAGAUAUUACUGGGACCAUCUAUAGAAGAUAUUGUCUGCCACAGCUAUUAAUAGUACUAGCUCAUUGUGGUUUCUUUGGAUUGUCACCCACUCCAAGGAAAAAUGUAGCAACAGUUAAAAAAAAACAUAGUUCUAAGCAGCUUUCUGUUAUGAAAUAAAAUGAAAAUGAUCUGUCUAAUCAGACUAUUUCCUGG
ensembl:lncRNA